rnacentral:misc_RNA from 1 species
UGUCGCUUAUAAUUUCAUUUUGGCAGUGGAUCAUUCAUAUAUUUCACAGUUAGUUGCAGAUACUUAACUAUCAACUCCAAGCCCUGGAGACAAAAGAUGCGUCAGCUGGGUAAAUAAUUGCAGCCAAUAACCAGUGGGAUACCUACACUGAAACGGUGAAACAUAUCCAGUUCAUCCCUUUAUUUUGCCAGGAUAAGAGAACCACAAGCAGCAGAAGCGUGCUUUCCCUCUUUGUAGACAAGAUUUCCUCUCACAAAAGUUGCCAAAACUUUUCCUGAAAGUUUGGUUCCCAUGUAGGCUGAGAUUCUAGGAUGUUUAAGGUAUAUAGGAAGAUCAUCAUUAAGCUCAAAAUCUGUGUUUGGUUCCCAUACAAAAAUAUCUGCAUGCUUUCCAACUUCAAUGCUCCCCUUUGAAUCUUGUCCAAUGAGCUUAGCAGGUCUUUCACUCCACCACAAUGCUAACUGCUCCAAAGUUACUCCAUAAUUUCGCCCAUAUGACCAUGUCACGGGAAACACAAACUGCAAAGAUGAUAUACCGCCCCAAGCCUUCAAAAAGUUGCCUUCAUUAAGGAGUUUAAGUUCUGGCACCGUUGGUGAAUGAUCAGAACUUAGCAUAUCAAUAUCUCCUUCCAGUAAAGCUUUCCAUAAUGCUUCUUUAUUGGCUGCAUCACGGAUGGGUGGAGCACAUUUAAAACGAGUAUCUCCAUCCUGAAUCUCCUCUGCUGAAAAGGCUAGGUAAUGAGGACAUGUCUCAACAGUCACACUGUCACCACUUCUUUUUGCUUCCUUUAGAAGUCGUAGGGAAGAACCUGAAUCAGAGAGAUGAACAACAUGAAGAUGAGCUCCUUCUGCAGGACCACCAAUUCUUGUGUCCUUUGAUAGUGUCAAAAGCUCUCUAAUAGCUGCCUCCUCCCAAGCUGGUGGCCUUGUCUUAAGGUAUGUUGAAUAAUGUCGAGGGUCAUUUGCAUCAUCUUCUAAGUAAUUCUCAGAAUCUAGCUGAAUCUCUGCAUGUACAAGUAAAGGUCUUCUGUAUUUUGCCAGUACAGAUAAGCCCNNNNNNNCUGGCAUUGGUCAUGGGAAAGUCAUUGAUCCCUGAAGGACACAUAAAAGACUUUAAACCAAGAACACCUGCACUUAGGAGAGCGUCCAGAGAACUUGCAUUGAAAGCAUUUUCAGGAACUAGGCCUCCCCAGAAACCAACAUCAACAUAAAUACUCUUUUCUGCAGCCUCAAGCUUGAGUCUCAAAGUUUCCAC